UACAGAGGCCUCGAGCGUUGUUCGGAAUUACUGGGCGUAAAGGGAAUGUAGGUGGUGACGUAAGUCAGAUGUGAAAGCCCUGGGCUUAACCCGGGAAGUGCAUUUGAUACUGCGUUGCUAGAGUAUGAGAGAGGAAAGCGGAAUUUCCAGUGUAGGGAGUGAAAUCCGUAGAUAUUAGGAAGGAAUACCGAUGGCGAAGGCAGCUUCUGGCUCGUAACUGACACUGAGAUUCGAAAGCGUGGGUAGCAAACAGG
rnacentral:rRNA from 1 species